AUUGAACGCUGGCGGCAUGCUUUACACAUGCAAGUCGAGCGGUAACAGGCCUUCGGGUGCUGACGAGUGGCGAACGGGUGAGUAAUGCAUCGGAACGUACCCAGAGGUGGGGGAUAACGCAGCGAAAGCUGUGCUAAUACCGCAUAUGAUCUGAGGAUGAAAGCGGGGGACCGAGCAGCAAUGUUUGGCCUCGCGCCUUUGGAGCGGCCGAUGUCGGAUUAGCUAGUUGGUGGGGUAAAGGCCUACCAAGGCGACGAUCCGUAGCUGGUCUGAGAGGACGACCAGCCACACUGGGACUGAGACACGGCCCAGACUCCUACGGGAGGCAGCAGUGGGGAAUUUUGGACAAUGGGCGCAAGCCUGAUCCAGCAAUGCCGCGUGCGGGAAGAAGGCCUUCGGGUUGUAAACCGCUUUUGGCAGGAACGAAACGGUGUCCGCUAAUACCGGGCGCUAAUGACGGUACCUGCAGAAUAAGCACCGGCUAACUACGUG
rnacentral:rRNA from 1 species